rnacentral:misc_RNA from 1 species
GAAAUGCGAUAAGUAAUGUGAAUUGCAGAAUUCGGUGAAUCAUCGAAUCUUUGAACGCACAUUGCGCCCGCCAGUAUUCUGGCGGGCAUGCCUGUCCGAGCGUCAUUUCAACCAUCAAGCCCCCGAGCUUGUGUUGGGGACCUGCGGCUGCCCGCAGGCCCUGAAAACCAGUGGCGGGCUCGCUGUCACACCGAGCGUAGUAGCAAUCACCUCGCUCAGGGCGUGCUGCGGGUUCCGGCCGUUAAACAGCCUUACAAAACCCAAGGUUGACCUCGGAUCAGGUAGGAAGACCCGCUGAACUUAAGC